rnacentral:ncRNA from 1 species
ACAUAGUAAGGAUUGAUAGAUUGAGAUCUCUUUCUUGAUUCUAUUGGUGGUGGUGCAUAAACGUUCUUAUUUGUUGGAGCGAUAUUUUUGGUUAAUUUCGAUAAAGAAUGAGACCUUAUCCUACUAACUAGCUAUGUGCAGGUUCCCCUUCAUGGAUAGCUUCUUAGGGGUGCUAUGGUCGUUUAGGCCAUGGAAUUUUGAGGCAAUAAUAGGUAUGUGAUGUUCUUACUUGCUCUAGGCCACAUGCAUGCUACAUUGAUGCAGUAAAAAAGGCAUGCACUAGAUUUCAAUAUUUUGCAAGCAUUGCCUACGAGUAUGAAGAAAUUUUUGCAAAAGGAUUUUAGAUGA